CUUUGACAAAUCAUUCUAAUCUUAUUUUUAAAUAUAAAAAAUGCUCCCAGUCACAAAAUAUGUCUGCUUCUGGAGGGUGUUUGGAGCCUUUUCCUUCAUACUGCUAAUUGGAGAAUUAAAACAAAACAAAACACCCCAAACCACCUCUUAAGCAUAGACCAUUGUUUUAGAUACAUUCUGAAAUUAUUUUGAAAUGUGAAAAAAACAAACACUCUCAUGGUGGAAUUUCCCUUAAAUACCCUACUAAGACAGUAUAUCGUUACUGCCAUUCUCAUUUUUCCUCAAGAAGACUCUAUUAUGAUACCAUUCAUCUAAAAGAUCAUGACUGGUGGCUUGAAUAUUUGCAGUUCAGGCUGCUAAAGCCUUCAAAAACAAAACAAAAGGAUAGACUAAAGGCCGCAUUGCUACAUGUUUGCUAAAAAUAUCACCUAUGCUCAGUUUAUAUGAAAGCAAAAUCCCUCAUUGAUAUUCAACACGAUGCUGAAAACAGCCUAUGUGCAGCAUGCAAUGGCAGGUCUCUACCUCAACAAAAACAUCUAUAGCCAAUAUGCUUUACAAAAAGCUUUUACAGAUGCUUAGUGUAAAUGUUUAAAACGUUCCUGUAGGUGUUUAAAAUGUAUGUCAUUGAUCAUUCGGGGAAGAAGGGACCUUUCUGUGAUCUGGAUAAAAGUAAGGCAGCUUUGCCACUGCAUUUGACCUGACCCAGUUGGCUCCCUUACCCACUCUUACACUAAUCCCCUCCCCUUCGGAGAUAUUUCCUGAAACUCUUUCCCCCGGCCUGUGCCUUCGCCCGCCCUCAUUAACAUCGCAGGCACCAACAGGUUAGAGUGCUGAGCGCACAGGAGUGUAGCCUGCAGCACACAGCAGGGGACUGUCCCUACCACUCCAGCAGCAUUAUUAACCCUCGCCCCGGGAAGGGGCAUUGAUUUGGGGGACCGUAGUAAGGAGGGAGCCGCUGAAAACUCUCUUCGGACUGCAGCACAAGUCGUGAGCGAUACACUGAGCAGAUGAUCUCGCAAGCGCGGACCCUGGGAGGAGGAAGUGACUGACCCUUCUGAGGCAGGGGCCAGCCGGAGGGAGAGGAAAGGAAUGGCUCUAGCUUGCCCCUACACAGGCUAUCCCCAAGCUGUGACCGGCGAAAGGGAGAAGACCGAGGCAAGUACACAGGGUACUGCAAUACCUAUCUGUUUCCCCAGGCUUUUGAGAAGGGCGUGAGUUCCUGACUCACCUCCUGACAGGUGAUUUAUGAAAGAAGAUUUUUGUAGUUACUUAAUUGACUGGCAACAGCAAAACAAUACAUUGGAUCUUUCCUUCUAUAAUUCAGCAGUUAUCUGUUUAUUACUCUUAUACAAAGCAGAACAUUUCCUUCCUUGCUGCUCAGAUCUGCUGCUGUGAAAAUCUAAUUGUCAGCUGAUAGGACGUAGGAACUGCUAUGUUGGAUCAGACCAGUGGUCUAUCUUAUCGACUAUCUUGUCUCUGACAGUGACCUGUAAAAGCUACUUCUGAGGACUGUGCUGCAGUAGACAGUUAUGAGAAAAUCUGUCCUCAAGGAAAGUUUCCUUCUGGUCUCCAACAGAUAUAUGUUGACCUAAGCCCUAAAGCAUUAGGGUUUAUAUCCCCUCCAAAGUUCAUUUGUUUUUAAUAAUUACUAUUAUAACUUUGGCUAUUCUUGUUAUCCAUGAAAAUGUCUACUCCUUUUUUGAAUCCUGGGAAGCACGUGGCCUCAACAGUAUACUGUGGCAAUGAGUUUCACAGUCAAAUUUGCAUUGUGUGAAAAACUAUUGCCUUUUAUCAGCUUUGAGUAUUCAGAUUUCAAUUUAAUUGACUCUCUCUCCCCUUGCUCUUCUUCUUAUGAAAAGGGAUGAAUGGAAGUUCCUCUUUUACCUUCUGUAUACUAUCUAGGACACUUUGCAUACCCUUUUAUUUGUUUCCUGUCUAAGAUGAACAGUCUCAGGGUAUAUGAACACUAAGGAUCCUGUCUACAUAGUUAGGCUGGAAUAGCCCCUUAAGUGUAGAUGCUGCCUACACCGACAGGAGUUUUUCUGUUGAUGUAGGAAUACCACUGCUCUGAAUGACAUUAUCUACAUUGGCAUAAGCACUUUUCUGUUGAUGUACAGUAGAACCUCAGUUACAAUUGACCGGUCAACCACACACGUCAUUUGGAACAUGAAGUACGCAAUCAGGCAGCAGCUGAGACAAAACAAGAAAAGCAAAUACAGUACAGUGCUGUGUUAAAUGUAAACUACUAAAAAAAUCAAGGGAAUGUUUUAAAAAAAAGAUUUGACAUGGUAAGGAAACUGUUUCUGUGCUUGUUUCAUUUAAAUUAAGAUGGUUAAAAGAAGCAUUUUUCUUCUGCAUAGUAAAGUUCCAAAGCUGUAUUAAGUCAAUGUUCAGUUGUAAACUUUUGAAAGAGCAACCAUAACAUUUUGUUUAGAGUUAUGAAUAUUUCAGAGUCAUGAACAACCUCUAUUCCCCAGGUGUUCGUAAUUCUGAGGUUCUACUGUAGCUGUGUCUACACUGGGAUUUUUGUUGGCAUAGCUAUGUUGGUCAAAGGUGUGUUUUUUUCACACCCUUACUGAUGUAGCUAUGCCAGCAUAACGUUCAAGUGUAGACCAUGUUGCCAUCUUUUCAGUCUUUCUUCACUGAAGAGGUUUUUUUUUAAUACCCCUAAUCAUUCUUGUCACCCAUUUCUGAACUGUUAUACCAUCGUAUUUCUGUUAUAUCUUUUUUGAGACCAGGACUGAAAAACAGUAUUGCACUCACCUGCCCACUCCCUCUUCACUGUUGGUAACAUGUGUCCUAAUCCCAGACAAUCCUAAUCCCCACUUCACCCACUAUUAUCUCUGCCCCUCUUCCCCAUCUUCUUACUCUACUCUCUCUAACCUGAUUCCCCUCUCCCUCUUCCUUUCAUCUGCUCCUUCAGGAAUGUUCAACUGAGCUAAAAAACAAAAUAAAGUGAUACCAUCAAGACAAAUAGAUAAUGAACCCAGCAAUCUUCUUAUUGUAACCCUCAUCCUCCCAUUCCUCUUUUCUCCUUCCUGUAUUGUGUGGUAUUCUCACUCAUGGUAUCAUGUCUAAAAUUAGAUGCAUCUCCCUUAUUUGGCCUCUAAAGUAUCUAGCAUACUUACACACUCUAAAAAUAGUAAUAGUAAUGUGCACCCACUCUGUCUUGAAGAGAACCACUGAAGACUGAGAGAGUUUUUCAGUCUCCAGGAUCUGUUUAAUUAUUUGUCUCUCUGUUGAGACUGCCACAAAAGGUAAGAAAUACUACAAUUUGUGAUUGGAGGCUUUUAUGAUGUGGACACAUCUCAGCAGGAAAACUGAUGGACAACACCUCACUCAUUUCUCAUAGGCCAUUGAACUGCCAGCUGAUGGUAACAACUUCUGGGCAGUAGCUAUCUGUUUUCCCCCUCUUGUUCUUGAUAAUCCACGACAGUGAACCAUGCUUAAAACACAGAAGAAAUUGAGUAGUAAAUACAUUCCUCAAGCUGAUUGUGCACAAAGGAGAAAAAUAAGGUUUGGAAACAUGGUCUGGAGAAGAACCUAUUGCAGAUGAGGCAACAGUUUCACUGCAUAUGAUUUACAAAUUGGAAAAGAUUCCUGACUUUAAAAAAUUGACUGGUACUUUCUGAUUCCAGGCUCAAAAAUUGAAAGACAAUAAAGAUUGAGGAGACAUCUGUGUUACAGAUGGGAAUCAGAUUAAAGAAGUGAGGUGGAAUUAGUAUGGGGGAAGAUCAGAGUUUGAUGGAUUGUUACAGGAGCAUGUGAAUUUUAAAAAGAGAAUUUAAUCCCUGGAUAAUCAAUCUCAUUCUCAUAAAGAUAUUAGGGCAGUCUAUGGGUGAAAAGGACACAGUCUCAUCCUUUAAUCUUUGUGAAAAAUGGCUACACUUGAAGUAUUAUAGGUUGCAUCAAACUAAUCCUUUGCCCAGAACUCUUCUGACAUAAGAAAUCAAUGGUGCUACUCCACAAAUAUGGCUGAAAACAAAAAUGCUAUGGGUCGUAUUCACUGUUGGCAUAAACAGAUGCAAAUCCACUGAAGUCAAUACAAUUUAUCCAUGUAUGUCAGCAUUGAAUUUGACCCGCUGUUCAUAUCAAGCUUAAUUAGAAACAAAGAAAUGGAGAUAAAAAUGUUUGUCAAGCAACUGACUAAUAGGGUAGGGGAAAAUAUUUCUUUAUGACUUUCUAACAAUGAAAAGUAAAUAUCACAAUGGCAUUUGAGAUGUUUACUAUUACAGAUAGUAGUACAGAUCUGUGCCAAUAAUGUAUGCUGUUAACAUGCCUUGGAUGAGAAUAUUUUCCAGUUAAAAAAAAAAUGAGACUUUCAACAUUUACUAUAACCUGUGGCAUGCAAAUACACUUCUUAAAUAUAAGCAAACAUUUUCAACAGGCUAUACUAGUUUUGGGUGCCCAAGCUGAGAUACCUUGGGCCUGAUUUUCAGAGGUGUGCACCUGCAGCUCCCACUGACUUCAUUUGGGACUCCCUAAAAUUGAGUUACCUAAAAUCAAUAUCCACUUUUCCAAAUAUUGACCUUAGUGUGUGUGAUGGGACAAAUAUCCUGCUAUUCCUGUCUAACUUACAGCUUUUUGCAAGGAUUUGGGGGGAUUUUUCAGGCCCGCAGGACCGGUGCUAGUUUAAGCAAAUUUGGACCCCUUCCACAGGCAAUGCCCAAAAUCCAGUUGUCACAUUCCAGGAUGCAGUCCAGACCAGUAAGAGAUUGAGUCACCACCUGCCCCAGAACCUUCAGUGCCUCAGUGUUUUGCUUUUGUAGCUCCCACCCUGGGCAACUCACAAACAGCAUAAUAGCAUGUAGGUCAAACUCUGGUGUCUGUGUAUAAUACACCCCUGACCCAGCAGUUCUCAUCUCAGCAGCCCGUCAGUCACACUCUGGUUUCCACCAGCUUUGGUUACUACUUGCAGGGUGGCCCCCACACACUUCCAAUCUCGAAUUUCUCUCAAAAUAUAUGUUCUGCAUUGUUCAGCCAUUUCCUGGGUAGUUCAGAUAUUAGAGGUCCGUUGCCCCUGUAAAGGGUCAGUAUGCAACAGUUUGCUACUUUUACUGGAGCUAUCCAAACAGUUCAGUUUAAACACACUUUAUUAGCUUUGAUUAAAAAAAAUCAAAUUUAUUUAACUACAAUGAGAGAGAUUUCAAGUGAAUACAAGGUAUUAAAGUCAGAAAUGGAUACAAGAGAAAUAAUGAUAAAACGCUUUCUAGUAGCUAAAUCUUAAGCUAGACUUGGUGCAAGGUAGUAUCCUUACCACAGGUUCUCAGCAACAGUGCUAACCAAAUUUUCAGGUCAGGAACUCCCCCAAAGUCAAAGACCUAUUUCCUUUGUCUUCUUAGGUGGGUGAGAGAGAAAUUGGGAGAGAAGUCUUGGAGUGUUUUUGCCCCUUCCUUAUAGUCUAGUAACCCUUUCAAAUGCAUUUUCCUGAGGGUUGUCCCUAGAUAAAGUUCCUUCCAGCUGUGAGCACUGAGACAUGGAGUCUCCUGGUGAAAUAAAUUGGUUAGUCUCUACGGAGCCACAAGUACUCCUUUUCUUUCUGGUGAAAGAGGUUAGAUGUGGCUGUUUCCUAAAAUGCAGAUCCAUCUGUUCCUACCCCCCUUCAUUGCCAGAGAAUGGCCACUUGACACGUGGUUGGCAAUUAACUUUGAUGACACCUGGCUAGAGGCAUCAGUUUGUCCUUUGUCUUUGACAAACCAAUUUACCCACUCCUCAGACUUGUCCAGUAAACAUAUUGUAGUCAUAAUUUCAUCUUAUGUUCAGAACUCUUAAUAUGCAUUUCAUACAAACAUUUUUACACAAAGAUUAUUGUUACAAUAGUGUGUAGGGUGUGAAUACAGGGGUGCUUUUGGUCACGCCAGUGUUUAUUCUUCUUCCUCCAUCUGUCUCAAAUUGCUCUGCCAUGCCAGCUAUGCAGAAUUGAACAAGGAUAUGUAGUUCAGUGGAUAGAACUUUAGACUAGGAAUUCUGGUUCUCCUCCUGGCUUUGUCAUUUACUUGCUAUAUUACUUGCUAUACUUGCAACUCCCCUGUGCUUCAGUUUCCCAUCUAUAAAAUGGGAAUGGUACCUAUCUCUGUAAAACGUUUGAGAUCUCUGGGUCUAAAAAGCUCUAUAUAAGUGUUAAAUUAUUAUAAAGUCUCAUUAUAAAUUAUUAUGGAGUUGGGGAAUAGGGAGUGUGUCCAGAAGGAGUUAAGGAAGGGCUGGAGAUCUUCAAAGUUUUCAUUUGGUGAACCACCUGGGACAGAUCCUUUCAUGGGCCAUCUCCUUUCAUACCCCUUAUAUGUCUGGUUGUUCCUUCUGCAUGCUGUUCAGUGGGAUCCUCUUCCUUCUCUCUUCCACUUUCAAUGGGAGGUCCAGAGAAGUCCAUCCUUUACCCCUUUCUCUUACCCUUCUGCAGAAGAACCUAAGUGGCUUAGGAGCAUAAGUCUUACCAAGUUGUUUAAAUGCCCUUGAAAAUACCACCCCUUUUGCCUCUAGAGGCCCUUAUCUUCUCCUAUGGCUUUAACUACUAGAUUUAGGAACAAUCAAUAAACACCCAUUGUUUUAUGUUCUCUGUGUAUAUAAAUCUCCCCACUGUAUUUUCCACUGAAUGCAUCCGAUGAAGUGAGCUGUAGCUCACGAAAGCUUAUGCUCAAAUAAAUUGGUUAGUCUCUAAGAUGUCACAAGACCUCCUUUUCUUUUUGCGGAUACAGACUAACACGGCUGCUACUCUGAAACCAAUCAAUAAACAAAGACAUUUCCAGAUUUCAGGGAAACACAGUAUCCUGCUCAUACUGUCUAUAAUGGGAUAGAGAAAUACCUGAGAGAUACCUCUUGUCUGACUUUUCCCCACUGCAGUGCUUCCCACCAAGGCUUCCAUUUGCCAUUUGAAAAAUGGGUAUCCAGAUCAAAAUGAAGUCAAAUAUUUUUACAUCAAAUUUGUAAAAUAUGAUCAUAAUUAUAAAAGGGCAUAUGGAAAAUAACAUGUGCCCUUCUUUAAGUGAACUGAGCCAGUGACUGGUGUCAAGAAGUGUCUUCUUUGAAGACUGCACAGCGGUUCUUUCUUUAUUCAGCAUCAGUUCGUCAUGUUAGUACAGUGAUUCCCUGAGAUGCCAUGGUAACAGGGCAAUGUAAUGGGCCAUGAGAGUGAUUCCUGGAGGGUUGUGUGGCUGAUCCUGAGGAUGAGGGAAACAAGGGAGACCUCACAAGGAGAGGGUGAGUGGCAGCUAACAUGGGCCUUACUAAAAGGCCACAGUUUGUGUGUGCAUGUGCUUGUGUGCAAUAUUGCCAACCCCAAAUAUUCAGUGUGCACAUGUGCGCUUGUGUGCAAGUCAACCCCAUUCAUUGUGUGCAUGUGCUUUUGUGUGCAAUACUGUCAAUCCCAACUAUUCAGUAUGUAUGCAUAUGCACAUGCACACAUGCGUGUGCAAUAUUGCCAGCCCUAAGCAUUACAUGUGCAUGCAUGCAUGCUCGUGUGCCCAUGUACUUGUGUGCAAUAUUGCCAACCCCAUUCAACGUGUGCGCAUGUGCACUUGUGUGCAAGUCAAACCCAAGCAUUCAGUUGUCCAUGUGCUUGCAUAAAAUACUGUCAACCCCAAGUAUUCAGUAUCUGUGUGUAUGUGAACAUGCUUAUGUGCAAUAUUGUCAACCCCAAGCAUUCAAUGUAUUUGUGUAUAUGUGCAAAAUUAUCAGCCCCAAAUAUUCAAAAACCAUGAGUGAGUUUAAAAAAUAAAUCAUGACUGGCUAAAAAAUAA